rnacentral:rRNA from 1 species
GAUGAACGCUGGCGGCGUGCCUAAUACAUGCAAGUCGAGCGAACGGACGAGAAGCUUGCUUCUCUGAUGUUAGCGGCGGACGGGUGAGUAACACGUGGAUAACCUACCUAUAAGACUGGGAUAACUUCGGGAAACCGGAGCUAAUACCGGAUAAUAUUUUGAACCGCAUGGUUCAAAAGUGAAAGACGGUCUUGCUGUCGCUUAUAGAUGGAUCCGCGCUGCAUUAGCUAGUUGGUAAGGUAACGGCUUACCAAGGCAACGAUGCAUAGCCGACCUGAGAGGGUGAUCGGCCACACUGGAACUGAGACACGGUCCAGACUCCUACGGGAGGCAGCAGUAGGGAAUCUUCCGCAAUGGGCGAAAGCCUGACGGAGCAACGCCGCGUGAGUGAUGAAGGUCUUCGGAUCGUAAAACUCUGUUAUUAGGGAAGAACAUAUGUGUAAGUAACUGUGCACAUCUUGACGGCACCUAAUCAGAAAGCCACGGCUAACUACGUG